UACAGAGGUCUCAAGCGUUGUUCGGAAUCACUGGGCGUAAAGGGUGCGUAGGCGGCGGAGUAAGUCGGGUGUGAAAUUUGAAGGCUCAACCUUCAACUAGCACCUGAUACUACUUUGCUCGGAGGCCUGAAGAGGAGCUUGGAAUUCUCGGUGUAGCAGUGAAAUGCGUAGAUUUCGAGAAGAACGCUCGCAGCGAAAGCGAAGCUCUGGUCAGGUUCUGACGCUGAGGCACGAAGGCUAGGGGAGCAAACGGG
rnacentral:rRNA from 1 species